rnacentral:rRNA from 1 species
GAUGAACGCUGGCGGCGUGCUUAACACAUGCAAGUCGAACGAGUGGCGAACGGGUGAGUAAUACGUGAGUAACCUGCCCUCUUUUUGGGAUAAGCCUUGGAAACGGGGUCUAAUACCGGAUAAAGGGGGAUGGGCUCGUGGCCUUUCAGCUUGUUGGUGGGGUGAUGGCCUACCAAGGCUGUGACGGGUAGCCGGCCUGGGAGGGGGACCGGCCACAUUGGGACUGAGAUUAGGCCCAGACUCUUACGGGGGGAGGCAGUGGGGGGUAUUGAACAAUGGGCGAAAGCCUGAUUCAGCGACGCCGCGUGGGGGAUGAAGGCUUUCGGGUUGUAAACCUCUUUCGCUAGCGAACGGGUAGUUGGAGAAGGAGCGCCGGCUAACUACGUGCCAGCAGCCGCGGUAAUUC